rnacentral:rRNA from 1 species
GACGAACGCUGGCGGCGUGCUUAACACAUGCAAGUCGAACGGAAAGGCCCUGCUUUUGUGGGGUGCUCGAGUGGCGAACGGGUGAGUAACACGUGAGUAACCUGCCCUUGACUUUGGGAUAACUUCAGGAAACUGGGGCUAUUACCGGAUAGGAGCUCCUGCUGCAUGGUGGGGGUUGGAAAGUUUCGGCGGUUGGGGAUGGACUCGCGGCUUAUCAGCUUGUUGGUGGGGUAGUGGCUUACCAAGGCUUUGACGGGUAGCCGGCCUGAGAGGGUGACCGGCCACAUUGGGACUGAGAUACGGCCCAGACUCCUACGGGAGGCAGCAGUGGGGAAUAUUGCACAAUGGGCGGAAGCCUGAUACAGCAACGCCGCGUGCGGGAUGACGGCCUUCGGGUUGAAAACCGCUUUCGCCGGUGACGAAGCGUGAGUGACGGUAAUGGGUAAAGAAGCACCGGCUAACUACGUG